rnacentral:rRNA from 1 species
UACGUAGAAGACUAGUGUUAUUCAUCUUUAGUAGGUUUAAAGGGUACCUAGACGGUAUAAUUAGUCUUUAAAUAGGAUACGGGUUAUACUAGAGUUAUAUAUGAGAAGGGGGAGUAUUUGUGGGAGUAGAGUUGAAAUUCUUUGAUACCAUGAGGUCUGGUAACGGCGAAAGCAACCUUUUAUCUAAUAACUGACGUUGAGGGACGAAGGCUCGGGUAGCGAACAGG